rnacentral:lncRNA from 1 species
AUACUUGGGACAUACUGUGAGGAUGUUAUUAGCCAAAUGUCAGAAUUAGCCAAAUGCUUUCACAUCUUCCUGCAAUCUAGUCUUGUGUUUAUGAGAAUCCUUUCUGAAUUCUCUUGACUCACAGUGGACCUUUUUUUCCCUUAGAAAUCAAGUGUAGUUUUCCAACCACUGUAUUAUCUAUUUCAUAGCUGGGGAAACUGCUGAACCUCAGCAAAAUAAAUUGGUGACAGAAGCAAGAACUAAAAAUGAGAUCUCUCUCUGGGCCUCAUAUGCUAUUACAGCAUACAUUGCCUUGAAAACAUUUUUGGUAGCAAUAAAAGUAAAAUGAUUUUGGUGAAAAUGAGUCUAUACUGGAAAAUCAGGUUGAAUUCCCUUUGUUUAUAAGUGUCCUUAGGGAUAUGACCAAGACAAAUUAUUUCCUAUACAGUGAGGAAGGAAACAGAAGUCUAACAUACACUAAUCAAAAUGCUAUCUUCUUAUGUACCAAAUUCCAAUAUUAGAAUAUUAAGACUUUAAUGCCAGUGGCACGACUAUCAUUUUGGUAUUGACUGAUUUGUUUAAUCAACCAAUCUUUAUUUGGUGUCUAUUAUGGGUUACAAACUAUGCGAUAUCCUAAAAAUAACUACAAAUUAAGGGCUUAAUGCUUAGGUAUUUACUUUUUAAAAAAAUGUUAAGUAUUUGCUUUUUUUCUUUUUUAAUAUCUGUGCAGAAGGAGCACUGGGCUGUGACUCAGGAGAUCUGGGUUGUUUUCCGGCGGAUACAUUAUUCCUUUCUCAAGUGCGGACAAUGACGUCUGCCCUUGCUCCCCUGGGAAGGCCCCCUGGCAGGGUGAGAUGGGUGCUGAAACUGAGUGGCAAGAAAGAGCCAGCCAAUUAAGAGCUUUCCAGGGAAUGGGAAGAAACAGUCAAAAGGUUGGUCAGACUAGUGAGCCAGGGGAGCAGAGAAAACACUUGGGAAUGGAGGCGCAGUGUGGAGGAAGAGCUUCCACAGCAAUGUUUAAGAAAGCAAACGAGUAAAGCAGGGACACAGUUUUAUCUUUAAAACCUCGAACACUGCUAGGCACACAGUGUAUGCUGGAUCAGGAUUUGCUGAAUGAAUGACUGAAUGAACUGAAGGGCAUAACCCAGAAUUAAUACAAUGUCACUGAUUUUUUAGAAGAAUCAUACCGUCUGUUGGGCAGAGAAUGGACUGAAGGGAGGUGGACAGGAAGGAAACAAGGGGACUGAGUAGGAGCCGUGCAAGAAUUUGGGCAGGAAAUGACGGCAGGCUGGCCUGGGGCGGUGGUUGCAGACAGGAUGACACUCGAUGCGUCGCAUACGAAGUGAUUAGUGGCAGAAAGGACUCCUGAGGAAUUCUUGGGUUUUGUCUUAAUCUCCUGGAAGAUGGCAGCGCUUCUGACAGAUGUAGCCAGUAUUGGGCUUGGGUGAGGUACCAAGCAGGGAGGGUUUAGGACUGACCCUGGAGGGCUGUGACUUUAAAAGGUGAGUGUAGAAGAGCCAGCCAGGGGAGUGUGCUGUGGAGGAGCCAGGAAUGGAGACGGUCUGAAGUUGAAGGUAGGCGUCAACCAUGACACACUCUGCAAGUGGUCAAGGUGAAAAGGAGGUGACCAGAUCUGGCAAUGUGGAGGUGACCGGUCACUGUGAGGACAGCAGGCCUGGUGGAGCGGUGGGGAUGCGAUCCCAACUGCAGGAGGCCAAGCAGAGGGUGGAAGGUGGCAAGCUGGAAAGAAUAACUCUAAAAAAUUCUUUGAAGGAGCUCUGCUAUGUAUGGGAAUAGAGCAAUUGGACUGUAGCUAAAUGGGAUGUGGGAUCAAGAGGGUGAUUGUUUCGGUGUGUUUUGUUUUUAAAGAUGAGGAAAUCAUGAAAUGCUUGCUAGGUGACCUAGUCGGAGAGUGGGGAGGAGGAACGGCUAGUACAGGAGAGAGAGGUAAGAAUUAACAGGAACAACAACCUAGUAAAGGUGAGGGGGUUAGACUCAGGGGAGAGGUGGCUCCUCAGCUGGGCAAAGAAAUUUAACCCACCAAGUCCGGAUGGAAGGCUGCCAAUGUGGGCACAGGCACAGGUGGGCUGGCACUUGGUGCAAAGGUGAGAGGGUUCUGGUUUCUUCUGUUUUCAACAGAGUGUGAAGCAAGGGUGUUGCAUGAGUAAGGGGAGGGAAGGAGUGUUGGGGGUUUAGAAAUAGAAAGCAUGGAAUCAUCAUUUACAGAGUGGGAGAAUAAAAUUGUAGGAAAUAUAGGAUUACUGGGCUGGGUUGAGAGUCCAUUUCAUAUGGUUGCGAGACUUUUGGUGGCAUGACACGUAGUCCCAUAUAUGGUGGGGGACAAGGUCAGUGUCAUAAGCUUGAGAGAGGAGGCAAAGGAAGAAGGAGAUGGUUCUCUCUUUAAGAUUUGUGAUGACUACAAGGAACAAUCAGCCAAAAGUCUGCGAGAAUCAAGCUUUACAGGCAAAAUGACCUUACGGAUACCAAUGACCCCAAAACGUUUUGGAGUGAGAGAUACACGUGAACCAGCAAACCAUCUCUCCAAGGAGGAUGAGGAAGAUGCUUCGGGUCGAUGAAGGGAAGGAGACAAAUGGAAAGCUAAUGAAACUGAGACUUGCAGGCGUCAUAUAACUCAGUCAAGGCCAAUACGUGGUGAAGCUGGGAUUCAAGCCCAGGCCUGUCUUACUCCAAAGCCAUCUCUUAAUCCCUUAAGCAAUCCUGCAUAGGGGAUACAUGUGCACUGUUCUAAAGACAUUCAGAUGAAUGUCUAAGAAGAUGACCACUCCAGAGCAUGGACAGAUUGAGGUGCAGAGCACACUAAAGCAUCUCGCAGCAGCACUACAUCUGGGACACGAGGUACAGGCUGGAUCUUCUCUAAAAUAAGCUAUCAGGUGCCACUUUACUCAAGCCUCUUCCUUAGCAAUAGCAAGUAUAUCGUACUUGGGAUUAACUCCGGCACAGAAGAGCCUAAAAAACUAAAUUGUGAUUUUGCUACUUGAGAAAUAUUUUAAAACGGAUGAUCUCAGGGUUUCACUAUUGCUUCUUGAAAUGUGAUACUGGAAGAAGACUUCUGAAAAGGGCCUAAACUCUGACAUAGACAUGAUGCACAUACACCAAGAAAAAGGUCAUACUUCUAAAACUGCUCGAAAAUUUCCAUGUGCCGCUCAGCAUUUCAUAGCAGAAGUACAUUCCCCCUCCCCCUCAAAUCCUCACACCCUUAUGGGAAUUUCCCCAAUAGCAGAAGUUUUAUAUAUUUUUCUUUAUUAUAUUUUCUAUGAUGACUAAUGGCCACAGGAUUUAAACUAUUAGCCAAAUAUGACGAGCUGAAUUAAAACAAGAGACUUGGGCUGUGAUGGCCAAAAGCUGCCCUAUACCUAUGCUCUUAUGAGGAUCCUCUGGUCUCUCCAAGUCCCAAAUC